AUGGGACACAGCUCCGGAGAAGAAUCUGACAUCAGCGACUCGGAGAUCGACGAGUACAAGGACAAGAUGUACGCCCAACUGCGGUGCGGAAAAAUGAGAGUGCGGUACGGCGACAAGACCUUGCGAUGCCCCUUCUGCUUAGGAAAAAAGAAGCAGGAUUACAAUGGCAAGGACCUUCUGCAGCAUGCCUCAGGAAUAGGGGUUGCUUCGAAACGCAAGCCGAAGGAGAGGGCAGGACACCUAGCACUCGCCGAGUAUCUGAAGAAUGAUCUGGGCAUCUCCCUCGAGCCACCGUCGCAGCUUGCCAUCGUCGAGCAUAAGCCUCCUAAGAAUGAAGAGGUCAAGUAUGUGUGGCCGUGGACUGGUAUUCUGGUCAAUCUACCAAAUGAUCUGAAGGACAUAAAUUUUGUCAGGGAGAAUGAGGAUAGGUUAAGAUCACAGCUAUCACGGUUCAGACCGCGCGAAGUCGCUAUUCUUUCGGAUCCCGAGGGCCAGACUGAUCACUCCAUCAUCAAGUUUGCCGAAGACUGGGAUGGACUGAGUGAUGCAAUAGCUUUUGAGAACCAUUUCAAAUUGGAGCAGUACAGCAAGACUGACUGGAAGAUGCGGAAGUGCAGAAAGGACGAUCUUUACGGAUGGCUUGCAACAUCUGAUGAUUAUAACUCUCCUGGCACAGUAGGGGAGCAUCUGAGGAAAACUGGAGUUCUGAAAAGUAGUGGUGAGCUACAACGCGAGGGAACUGCCCGACGUAUAGCGCAUUUUAAUCGCCAAAUGGACGAGAGUAACAAACGUAUGCAAGAACUGAAGCUGAAGAACAGACAAAACGAGUUGAAACUUGACAUGAUGAUGAAAGAAAAAGUUCGAUUGGUCGAGGAACAUAAUAGAAAGAUAAGACAGAUGCGGCAAGACGCCCAAAGGAAUUCCAGGAAAAUACGUGAAGGUAAUCUAAGGUUGCAACAGGAAUUGGAAACCAGGAGACAAGAAAUCCAUAAGCAGCAACAUGAUAAGAUGGCUAGAAAAGGUAUUAGUAUUGACAGAACAACAGCCGAAGCAGAGAAAGAAAAGAGUGCAAACGAGAACGUUCUUGUCGACUUAGCAGCCCUAAAGCAGAAGAAUUGCUGUGAGGAGGUCACGCGGCUUGUUGACAAAUAUGAGGAAGACGAAGAAGAUGCUUUCAGGAAGCAAUGCAAACUGGAAAAGGACCUAACUCGUAAACAGGAUCUUGAGAUGGGAAUAGCACAGUUGAGGGUAAAGUUAGAGGUAAUGAAGCACAAGCGAGCCGAGGCAGACACAGCAAAUGAAAUCGAUAAGAUUUCUGAAGAGCUGAGAGAAAAAGAUGAACAGCUUGAGGCUAUCAAUUCUGCUAACGAGGCACUUAUUAGGUAUGUGUUUUGCAAUUCUUAG
rnacentral:rRNA from 1 species